CUUUUUUUUUUUUUUUUUGUUUAACCAUGUAAAUUACAAGAUGGGAAAUGGUUAUUUUGUCAAUUAUUUAUCUUGGCAUCACCUUACAGGUUCGUUUCUGUUUUUGUUCAUUCAUAUGACCAGAUGAGUAGUUAUCCUGCUACCUUGGUAGUUUGGAGUAUGCCACGAUAUUUCUAGUAGAUCAGUGAUAUAAAAGUUUUGAGCUAUGGUAGUUGUAAUUUCUCUUCUUGUCAUGAAUCCUUUUCCUUUUCAAUUUAACAACUAUGUUGGGCUUUGCCAACUAGCAUCUUUGGAUGAG
rnacentral:misc_RNA from 1 species